CCUACGGGUGGCAGCAGUAGGGAAUUUUCGUCAAUGGGCGCAAGCCUGAACGAGCAAUGCCGCGUGAACGAGGAAGGUCUUCGGAUCGUAAAGCUCUGUUGAAGGGGAAAAAGAGCGGAGCGAGGAAAUGCUUUCUGAUUGAUAUUACCCUUCGAGGCAGUCUCGGCUAACUACGUGCCAGCAGCCGCGGUAAUACGUAGGUGGCGAGCGUUAUCCGGAAUGAUUGGGCGUAAAGGGUGCGUAGGCGGCCUGCUAAGCCUGGAGUGAAAGGGACCGGCUCAACCGGUACAGGCUCUGGAAACUGGCAGGCUAGAGGGGAGGGGAGGGCAGUGGAACUCCAUGUGUAGCGGUAAAAUGCGUA
rnacentral:rRNA from 1 species